rnacentral:misc_RNA from 1 species
AACGCACAUUGCGCCUAUUGGUAUUCCAAUAGGCAUGCCUGUUCGAGCGUCAUUUAACUCUUCAAGCUUUGCUUGGUGUUGGGUAUUGUUCGCCUUGCGAACUUGCCUUGAAUAAAUUGGCAGCCAACAAUUGGGUGUUGGAGCGCAGCACAUUUUGCGUUCUUAACCUUAGUAGCUGGCGUCCAGAAAGCUUAUUUCAACGUUUGACCUCGGAUCAGGUAGGGAUACCCGCUGAACUUAA